CCGCCCCCGCGCACCGGCACCGCACCGGCACCCCGGCUCGGCCCCGCGGAGCUCCGGAGCAGCCGGCACCACCCCUCACCCGAGCACCCCACCAUGAGCAACCUCAACAAGGACACCGAGCACACCAACGGCGGCGGCACCGUCGAGGAGGAGGUACGGACGCUGUUUGUCAGUGGCCUUCCUGUGGAUAUCAAACCCAGAGAGCUCUACCUUCUCUUCCGACCAUUCAAGGGUUAUGAGGGGUCACUGAUCAAGCUGACUUCAAAGCAGCCAGUGGGUUUUGUGACCUUUGACAGUCGGGCUGGCGCUGAAGCAGCGAAGAACGCCUUGAAUGGCAUCCGCUUCGACCCCGAGAACCCCCAGACGUUGCGGUUAGAAUUCGCUAAAGCAAACACAAAGAUGGCCAAGAGCAAGCUGAUGGCCACACCGAACCCCACCAACAUCCACCCUGCCUUGGGCGCACAUUUCAUUGCACGGGACCCCUAUGACCUGACUGGAGCGGCUCUUAUCCCAGCGUCCCCAGAAGCGUGGGCUCCCUACCCACUGUACACCACGGAGCUGACCCCUGCCAUCCCCCACGCCGCCUUCACGUACCCGGCGGCUGCUGCUGCGGCCGCCGCUCUUCACGCUCAGUGAACUCCAGCCAUGAUGCCAGCGCAGGCUAGCCCCGAAGCUCAGAGCUGUCCCUGGAGAUGGGACGCCCUAGUGAUGCCUUAUUGCAGCUAGUGGAGUGGCUGUACUACAGCUCCAUUCCUAGAAGUGUUAAGCAUGAUGGCAGCCACGUCUGGAAAGACUGAUGCGCUGGUAUCCUCCCUCUGAAGCGACCCAGCAAGGAUGGAAGUCUCGUCAGUUUUGUUAGUUCGUUAUGUCUCCUCUCGGCUCGUGUUCCUCCUCCCUGCCUCUCCGCAGAGGGAUGUGCCAGGGACGAUGGCUCCGACUCCUCUGGAUUUGGUACGUGGCCAGCGGACACCGCGCUGCCCCCGGGGCUGCCAGCACCCCUGUUCCUGGACUGUGAAGCCAUCUCAGCCCCAGCCACGGGCUGUGCUCUGCCUCCAUCCCUCCCUCCAGGAAUCCCCAGGACCUCCUCCCUGACCGAGCUUUGCCAUCUGGCUGCACUGAAACCCAGCCGGGGGCUAGGUCCUGGGCUUCCCGGCUCGCCCUGCCCCGGGGGCGGCUCGGCUGAAGGAAUCGAAAGGCAAAAUGGGUUUUGCAUGUUUUCUGGCAUGAAUUAAAACACUUAACUUGUGUCUGUGUGAGUGUAAGUUUGUUUGUUCUAGCGUUUGUGUAGCCGUUAGCAACAGGUCUUGGCCCAACGGAUUGAUCCAUCAAGGUUUUCCUCUUGCUUCGGUGAAGACUUGGCUUUGAGAAAUACUAACUGUCCUUGUCUCACCCCUUCUCCCACCUCCACCCUCCCCUCUCCAGGAUGAUCAGAAAAAUUUGAAAAAUGCUUUUUUUUUUUUUGUUUUUUUUUUAAAGUACGAUGCACUGGGUUUUUGUUCUUAUCCAUUCUGCUCGUUUUAAAGUCAGGGUUAUAUUAUUUUUUUUCCUUCUUCAGACUUCUAUAUAUAGAACAGCUGUAAAAUAUCUAACCUUUUUUUUUUU